rnacentral:rRNA from 1 species
CCUACGGGAGGCAGCAGUAGGGAAUCUUCCACAAUGGGCGAAAGCCUGAUGGAGCAACGCCGCGUGGGUGAAGAAGGUCUUCGGAUCGUAAAACCCUGUUGUUAGAGAAGAAAGUGCGUGAGAGUAACUGUUCACGUUUCGACGGUAUCUAACCAGAAAGCCACGGCUAACUACGUGCCAGCAGCCGCGGUAAUACGUAGGUGGCAAGCGUUAGCCGGAUUGAUUGGGCGUAAAGGGAACGCAGGCGGUCUUUUAAGUCUGAUGUGAAAGCCUUCGGCUUAACCGGGGUAGUGCAGUGGAAACUGGGAGACUUGAGUGCAGAAGAGGAGAGUGGAAUUCCAUGUGUAGCGGUGAAAUGCGUAGAUAUAAGGAAGAACACCAGUGGCGAAGGCGGCUCUCUGGUCUGUAACUGACGCUGAGGUUCGAAAGCGUGGGUAGCAAACAGGAUUAGAUACCCUGGUAGUC